GCUUUAUUUACAGUGAGCAAAGUCAGGGUAUUUCUCCAGAAUGAUCUGUAAUAUACCACUGUGGGUAAAAUAUUUUGCCAUUUCUUGAACAUUUGAGUGAGUUCUCAAAAUUCAUUAAUUUAUUGCACUCCAGUACAUAAUGACGCCAGGUGUGACAAUAGUCCAUCUGGCAGAGUUUACAUUUCAUUUGGUCUACAUCUGGUGGUGGUGAUUUUAACCUGCCAAAGAUACUUGUAACCCAGCCGGAGCCGGGCGGUAGUGACAUCCAAGAGUCUGCUUAUUUUGAUGGAUGCACCAUAGCAGAUGGCAUCCUCAGCACAGAGUACACAAAGUGCAUCGGAAUGGUGGUUAAUAGGGUGUCCUCUUGAGUUUUUCUCAACUGCCCGGCUUCCGACGCGAGGUGACAUACUUCGCGUGUCACAAUUCUUUCACCUGAAGCAGAAUCUACCUUUCCCAAAAAGCUUCAAGAAAUCCUGCGAAGCCUGCUGUGCCAUCUGGAUGAGGGCAAGGAUCCCUACCCAGCGGUUAGAUUCCUGCGUGCGGAAGUUGGAGAAGUUAAUGCGUGAAUACCAGAACCUCAAGAAGAGUCGAAAGCGAGGUGAUACGCAAGCGAGGAUUUUCCAGGACUCCCUCGGUGACCUCUUUGACAUCGGAGCCAGUGAUGCCCUGGCGCAGAUGACUGUUGAAGAGGAUCGCGUGUUUUACCAAAUGCAACGCGAGGAUGUCACCUCAUGCAUUAUGUCUGGCCCUGAUCCCAUGACAACGGGAAGGGAGAGUCGGAAGCGACUUUGGGAAGGACAAGAGAAGGCGAGAAGGGCGAAGGCAGAGGCCGAGGCAGCUUCAUUCUUGGUGGCAGCACCUCGGCUGUCUUCCACGUCCUCCUCCAGCCUUGAGUCCAAGGGCAACGAAGACUUUGCUUCUACUAUCAGUUGUUCGACAGCGCUUACGGUGCCUCCCAAGCGACUGAAGAACGUCUUUGCCUCCCCUGCUGUUGCAUCAGCCGUCAACCAACUCAACCUCCCGGAAACAGUACCUUCUUCUCCUUGUGGCAGAUCACCGUUGCCGCUUCCCUGCUCCGACCAAGGAGAGACUAACAAAGAAGGGUGAUUGCUGAAUUUUAGAGGGACAGAUUAAAGUCCCACCUUAUUUCAUUGUUCAAGUAGGCACAAGGAAGCAUUAUUACGAGUGAGCGAGUGGAGCGACAUUUUACUGGCAGUUGGUGUGACAAAUGAGUGACCUGACACGACCAGAUGCUUUUGAGAGGCUAAUAACUUUUUCCCUAUUGACUGCAUGUGAUUUCAAGGACUCUUCCACAGCCCAUCAUGAUUCCAGGCUUCCCUUGUAACUAUUUGAUCAACCAGGCUGUUCAUGCUAGCACCCUGCAGGCUUCAUAAUCAUCAUAAUCAUCUGGCUCUUGUAGAAGGAAGCUGUCAUCCUAGGCCAAGGGAAGUUUGCUCAUGUUCUGUUUGAUACCAAGGAAACAAGAAAUCUGUGGCCACUUGGUGAGUCCCUGGGCAUUAUUAGUAACACAGCUUCAGUAACAGUUUUGAAACUAUGGCAAGGAGACAUCAUAAGAACAUAUGAGAGAAGGAACACUGUAGUAGGCCUGUUGGCCCAUACUAGGCAGGUCCUGCACAAACCCAACCCACUAACAAUAAAUGCUACCCAAGCAAUAAGCUUUGACAGUUCUGUAAGACACACAUGCAACAGUUAGGUAUCUUUAUUUUGAAAUGUUUUGCCUACACAGUAGGCUUCUUCAGUCGAGUACAGAAAAGUUGAUAGAAGAGACGUGAAGAUGAUGUAAUCAGUCCACUGGCAAUUUUGCCAAUUUCACACAAAUUUCAAAAGAUGCCAAUUUCCAAACAGGGUCCAGAAUAAACAAGACAGACAUUCCUGGCACUAAAAUAACAUUUCCUCUGUUCACUAGUCACGUCCCCAUGCCCCUCUUACAUUUCUUUUGCUUUUCACUUUGAAUUUUUCUCACAAAAAAUAGAAGAUUUACUGUUAUGCAGACUACUGCAUUAACCCCUUCAGGAUCCAAGGCCCAAAUCUGAAGUGGUGCCCCAGUGUCCAAGAAUUUAAAAAAAAAAAAUUUGUUAUUUUUCUUAUGAAAUGGUAGAGAAUCUUUUUGUGAAGGUAAUAAAACAAAAAGUACGAAAUUUGAUGGAAAAUUGACGAAAUUAUGCUCUCGCGAAUUUUGAUGUGUCAGCAAUAUUUACGAAUUGGCGAUUUUGCCGACUUUGACUCCCAUUUUAGGCCAAUUACGUUAUUCCAGUCAACCAAAUUCUUAGCUAUUUCACUAGUAUUACUUCUAUUCUAUCGAUUGAGCACAAGAAAU